AAAUGUUGCAUUAACCUCGAAAAAUCCAUAUUCCGUUCAGUAGCAACGUGUAACGGGAUUAGAAUGACAACUACUCCGUGCGAGCCCACAAUGCAGAGUGAUGUUGCUUUCCGAUAUGGCCGACUGUGAAUAAGCUGUAUCUCUACCGCGGUGCCGGCUGGCUGCUUUAGGGAACUGUAUCCCUGCAAAGUCUUCCUCAACAGCGACUCCCCUACUUGUCAUCUCCAGCACGGAGAUAAAAACUGAAAUCCCUUACGAAGGUCGCCACGAGAAGAUCAUUGACAGCGCUCUCAAGGACCCCACCAAAUCCCAUCUACAGGGGAGGCAAAGUGGUUUGCUUAUCAUCAUAGAAGCAGGAUGAAUUUCAUAAGCAACCUUGUACCACUGAAAACUAAAUGGCACAACCUGAAGCCAUCUGUCACCUGGGAAAACCACCAUCUGCAAGUUCUCUUCCAAGAUACAGAAGAUCCUUAUUUGGAAGUAUGUUGUCAUUGGAUCAAAAUCCUAGGGCUCCCAAUCUAGAAGCACUGUGUGGCUCAAGAAAGGAAUACCCCACUAUGUUCUCAAGGAUAUGACUAUUGAGUAAUGAUCUUACCAGUGAAGUCCACAAGCCAGAAUGAAUUGCAAAUAAACAGCAUUUCCUCAGAAGUGCAUGGCCAAAAUUCUACUUAGACAGAUCUGCCAACUUGACAGAUGUAUCAAGCUAACUGACAUGUAUUUCCUCAUUUACAUUUUUUUUCAUUUUUCUAAUAUUUGCACUUUGGCUUAUUUUCUUAAUUUUCAUUUGCAUUGCUCUCCAAAUUCAUAAGAUUUGUGUGCACCUAGCCUCAAAUAUUAAUUGCUGAGAUCUACUUAAGCAUGUUUACUAUUAUGAAUGGGAUCUUGUCUAUUUUUUUUAAUAUUCUGUUUAUGACUACUUGUCAUUGUUAUCUGAACUGUGAGAAUCCUGAAGCUGGAAAUGAAAGGUGGAGCAAUUGGCUGAAGAUUAAGUAGUUACAUUUAGAAGUACAAAUGUUCAUUGUUUAUUUCAAAACUCUGACUCUUAGUAUAGGUGUAUGCAGACUGGUACUGGUAAUAUUAGUAGAUGUUCAUGUCCCUUGUUCAACUCCUGAAGCAUCUUGAAUGCAGAAGUAGCAACCAUGAACAUAAAACAGAGAUAGUUCCUUUAAUGAUUGUCUUUUCUUUGUGUAUUUUCUGUCUUCUCUAACAUUUUGUUCAUAACAUAGUGUUUGUUACUUUAUUGAUUCUAUAUUUCUAAUACACUCCCAAAAUAGGGCAGCAGAAACAUGAGAUACAGUUCUAUCAGAUGCACUGAAUUACAUGGCAUAAUUAUUCUUUUUAGCUAACCUUGAUAUUUCAGAUAAUUCAUGAUUAUUAUUUAAAGUUAAUCUCUAAGUUAGUCAUCUGUUUGCAUUUCUGUGAUACAAGGUUAAUUAUUUACCCAAGUCUACAUGACAGGACAUGUUAAUUCUCCCUGCUGCUUUUCUCAUUUCAUCUAGAGAGCACAGACAACAUUUUUUUUUGUUUUACUACCAAUGCUCCUUGCUCUGCCAGAUAAUCUCUGCAUUUAGUACAUUAAUCCAAUAUUAUGUCCCUGUCUAGUUCAAAAUGAGCAUUAUCACUCCUCUAGUAAAUGUUUCCCUUGAACUAUCAUCUCCAAAUUGAUUUUUAUUUUGAAGUCCUGGAGUGCAUUAUUGCUUCACAGCUACCUUUCUCUCCCCCACCACUCCUUUUACUGACUCACCCAUUUAGUUCCCAUGCCGUCUGCAUCAUUUUAAAAACGAUGGUUGAAAGUACAAUCAAUGUACUGUUCAACAUGUCAUGAUAUCACCAUCUGUUCUCAGUUAUUUUAACCUUUUGAAUACUGAGGACAGCACUCCAACAAUUUUCCACAGCUCUUUGCCACUGUUCUUUCUUGGUCCUGAUUGCACUUUUUGUAGCAAAAUAUUAUGUUGCCAAUAAGGAGCUCCUGGUUGUGCCUUCAGUGCAACAUUCAUAUUUUACCACUCCUGCAAUAUAAAGGUGAAACACAUGGACAUUAACUUUAUUAAUUAAAAGGGCUUUUGCUGGACUCCAUGCAGAGUAACAGAUGCACCACCUUCUAUCGCUCAUCAAUGUUGUGGCAGAUUCACGCGAGUCCAGGGCAUAUCUGGGAGUGACUGAACGCUGGAUGUUGCCUUUGGAAUGACAGACUACAUCUGGUUCAAAUCAGCCCAUUUUUCUCUGACUAGUUACUCUCAUUAUGCUGUUUAAUUUCUACUUUCUUGAUGCUGAACAGAAAAUGUAAUAAAAUGGUUUGGAAUAUAGUCAGUAUGAUUGGAUUUGACUAAUAUACAUCAAAAACAAUUUGGCUCAUAUCCUGAACACCCAUAACAAAAAUUCAGUGUUCUAUGAAGCAUCAACUCUGUUAGAAAUAUUUAGCAGGAGCCUAG